rnacentral:rRNA from 1 species
GACAGAGGGUGCAAGCGUUGUUCGGAAUUACUGGGCGUAAAGCGCGUGUAGGCGGCUAAGUAAGUCGGGCGUGAAAUCCCACGGCUCAACCGUGGAAGUGCACUCGAAACUGCGUAGCUAGAGUCCUGGAGAGGAAGGUGGAAUGCUUGGUGUAGAGGUGAAAUUCGUAGAUAUCAAGCGGAACACCGGUGGCGAAGGCGGCCUUCUGGACAGUGACUGACGCUGAGACGCGAAAGCGUGGGGAGCAAACAGG